rnacentral:rRNA from 1 species
AUUGAACGCUGGCGGCAUGCCUUACACAUGCAAGUCGAACGGCAGCACGGGUGCUUGCACCUGGUGGCGAGUGGCGAACGGGUGAGUAAUACAUCGGAACGUACCUUAUCGUGGGGGAUAACGCAGCGAAAGCUGUGCUAAUACCGCAUACGCCCUGAGGGGGAAAGCGGGGGAUCGAAAGACCUCGCGCGAUUAGAGCGGCCGAUGCCUGAUUAGCUUGUUGGUGGGGUAAAAGCCCACCAAGGCGACGAUCAGUAGCUGGCCUGAGAGGACGUGCAGCGACCCUGGGACUGGGACGCGGCCCAGACUCCUACGGGAGGCAGCAGUGGGGAAUUUUGGACAAUGGGGGCAACCCUGAUCCAGCAAUGCCGCGUGAGUGAAGAAGGCCUUCAGGUUGUAAAGCUCUUUUGUCAGGGAAGAAACACCGGCUCUAACACAGUCCGGGAAUGACGGUACCUGAAGAAUAAGCACCGGCUAACUACGUGCCAGCCGCCGCAGUAA